rnacentral:rRNA from 1 species
UUUUUGUAAAUUAAUCAUAUAUUUUAAUUAAAUCUAUAUAAAUUAAUUAUUUGGUUUAUUAAUUAAUUUUAUAAAAUUAUAUUUUUUAUGAAGUUUUUAACGUAAGUUAUAUUUAAUUUAAAAAAUUUAAAGUAUGAUUAUUUUUCAGUACCUUUUGUAUCAGGGUUUAUUAAAAGUUAUAAAAUUAUUUUUUUAAUUCUCGAAAGUGUAAUAGUUACAUAUUUAUGUAAGUUAAUGUUUCAUAAUUAUUUAAAAUGAAUAUGUGUAAGUGAAAUGCUAAAAGUUUACAUUGAUAUCUAGUUUUUACUUAAUUUAAUUUAAUUAAUUGUUCUAAUAAUAUUUUUUUUGGUUUUUAAUUAAACUAAUAAUUUUUGGUUUAAUUUAGUUAAGACUUAUGGUAAAUUUUUUUUAAUAAGAUUUUUACUUGUUAGUUCAAAAUAACUUUGGGUAUAACCUUAAAGUUUUGUUAAAAUUUGUAUUUAUAUGUGUUUAUUUAAUAUUACAGAUAAAAUUUUUGGUAUAUUGAGAUAAUUUAAUAAUUUAUUUAAGUUUAUUUUAUUUUUAUAUUUAUACAUAAUUUAAGAUUUAUUUUAGUUAUUUAAUUAUUUAGGUAAAUGAUUUUACGAAUUUGUUUAAAGAUGUAAUAAUGAUAAAAUUAGUAUAAAUUAUUUUAUUUUAUAAUAUUUAUAUAUAUGUAUAUUUAUUUAUAUUAUAAGUUUAUGAAUUAGGCAAGAAUAAGAUUUAUAUGUUUAUCAAAAACAUAUUCUUUUGUUUUAAAAAUUUAAGGUGGGCCCUGCUCAAUGAUUAAAAUUAAAUAGCCGCGGUAAUAUGACCGUGCGAAGGUAGCAUAAUAAUUUGCCUUUUAAUUGGGGGAUUGAAUGAAUGGGUUGAUAAAAUCUGUACUUUAUUAAUUUAUUUUUUUAUAAGUUAAAAUUUUAGUUAAAAUUCUAAAAUAUAAAGCAAAGGACGAGAAGACCCUAUAGAGUUUAAUAAAUAUUUUGUUUUUUUAUUAAUUUAUUUUAAAUGAAAUUGUUUAUUUAGUUGGGAUGAUUUAUAAAUUAAUAUAACUUUAUAAUUUAUACAUAACAAUAAUUAAUGAUUUUUUGAUUAUGUUUAUAUAUUUUGGAAUUAACUACCUUAGGGAUAACAGCGUAAUAAUUUUGGAUAGUUCAUAUAGAUAAAAGUGAUUGCGACCUCGAUGUUGAAUUAAGAUUGGAUUAUUAGAAGAUUAAUAAUUUUUGAGUCUGUUCGACUUUACAAUCUUACAUGAUUUGAGUUCAGAUCGGCGUGAGCCAGAUCGGUUUCUAUCCUUGUUAAAAUAUAAUUAAUUUUUGUACGAGAGGACUAGAUUAGUUAAAU